rnacentral:rRNA from 1 species
GACGAACGCUGGCGGCGUGCUUAACACAUGCAAGUCGAACGGAAAGGCCCUGCUUUUGUGGGGUGCUCGAGUGGCGAACGGGUGAGUAACACGUGAGUAACCUGCCCUUGACUUUGGGAUAACUUCAGGAAACUGGGGCUAAUACCGGAUAGGAGCUCCUGCUGCAUGGUGGGGGUUGGAAAGUUUCGGCGGUUGGGGAUGGACUCGCGGCUUAUCAGCUUGUUGGUGGGGUAGUGGCUUACCAAGGCUUUGACGGGUAGCCGGCCUGAGAGGGGGACCGGCCACAUUGGGACUGAGAUGCGGCCCAGACUCCUACGGGAGGCAGCAGUGGGGAAUAUUGCACAAUGGGCGGAAGCCUGAUGCAGCAACGCCGCGUGCGGGAUGACGGCCUUCGGGUUGUAAACCGCUUUCGCCUGUGACGAAGCGUGAGUGACGGUAAUGGGUAAAGAAGCACCGGCUAACUACGUG